GUACUCUGGGGAUAAGAAGUGAAUAGAACAUAUUUAAGUUCUGGGGGACUCAAUCUGAAGAAGAAAGCAGAUACGGAAAUAAAACAGUGGAAUCACUUGCAGAGGAAACACAAGGAAAUGCUUAUAAUUUUUUCCUGGGGAGGUGAGGGAAGGCAUUUGGGGAAAGAAAAUGCCCGAUAUUAUCCUUGAAACAUGGAUUAGAACUGAACAGGGAAUCUAGUCCUAGAAGUCCCAAGACAGAGACAACAGCAAAUACUAAGUGCAGAGAGGUACCAUGUGAAGGCCUGGGCAUAUAACAUGAAACAAGAAAGAUAAGGCCCGUGCUUACAUAGAACUUGGUGAAGAAUCUAGACCAUAACAAGCACACAGAGAAAACGUAUCACAAAUUGUGCUAAAGUUCUGUAAAGGGAUUAAGAUGAAGUGUCACAAGACUGAAUUAGACAGAGUGCCCUUGAAAGAGUGCCAAUUUUUAGAAUGGAGGGUGUAGAUCCAUCCUUUGCAACUGGUGAGGACCUCCUCAGUAAGGCACUGAGCCAGGAGUCUAUACAGCCAUGCCAGCAGGGAGCACUGUCUUUCAUUGUCUGAUGUUUAUUGCAAACCUGUUCUUUUCAGCUUUUUGUUGUUUCAGAAUUGUUUCUUUCAGUAGAAAGCAGGAAAGAUCACAACAGUUGCAGAGUUACUACAUCAAGAGGCUUCUACUCCCCAAGGGAGGAACUGGAUAAAUCUAAGAACUGCACAAUGUUAACUCACAAAGAAGAAUUAAAAACAGAAGACGUUUUCCUACGUAACAAACCUGCACAUCCUGCACAUGUAUCCUGGAACUUAAAAUAAAAUAAAAUAAAAUUUUUAAAAAGAAUAAAUAAAUAGCAGCCUAGUCCAAAGACGUUUACAUCCUGGAAGAGAACUUGCUGGCUUUUCACCUCAGCAUGUAUGGGCCAAACUAAUAUAACAAGAAGUCUUGAGAGGAGUCAGCGGCCAAGCUCCAUGUCUUGCAGCCAAACAAUGCUGUGGGAUGGAAGGUGGGAUGUCAUGUGUCUGGUUUACAGCACUCACGUAUCAGUUGGCAGUUAACGGAAGUGCUACUGAUUGUAACAGUGGAAGCAAUUUGAAAUGAAAUACAACACUUAAAGCAAAUGAAACGGAAGUGAAUGCCAGCAGUAAAUGGCAAGAAGAAAUCCAGUUCAGUGUGUUCCUCAGAAAUCUUGCCUCUUGGGACUAAAUGCUGCAAAUGUAACUCUUAUCCUUGUUUUUCAAGUUUUACCAUCUCAAAGCUAUCCACUUUAUAUUAAAUUAGUUCUGUUAUAUUAUGUCAAUUUGUAUUCUUAAGAGCACAAGUUUGGCCUCAAAUAGACCUGAGCUGAGAUCCAAUUCUUUAAUUUAUCUGUGUUGUUUUCUUUUUCCUUAGCUUUAAAGUGGAAAAAAUGCUACUUACAUUUUAUUUAUGAAGGUUAAAGAUAAAGUGUCUGAUAUGGGACCUAUCAUAUGUGGUAGGCACUUAGUACAUGGUAGCAAUUAUGAUUAUUAUAUCUGAUAUUAGCAUUAUUAUUAUGAUUUGUUUUAAUCUUCAAAGUAUCAACUGUUUCUAUUACAUUUGUGGUAAAUACUCCUAAACAGAGUUUUUAAGUUCAAGUGUCCAAAGUUGUUAGAAACAAAGAUAUUUGACAAUAACAUAAUCAUAUCACAUGACCUCAUGAUUUAACCACCUCCCAAAGUUGCCACCUCCUAAUAUUAUCACCUUGGGGGUGAGGUUUCAACAUAUGAAUUUUAGAGGAACAUAAACAUUCAGACCAUAGCAAUAAUGAAGAUAAAGAGUUUAUUCAUAGAUAAAUGUUAAGAAGUAGAUACUGUUUGUUAGGAGAAGUGUCCACAGUUAGGGAGAAGUUAGAGGUCUGGUGUCAUCUUUGAUUUUUGUGUUUCUUCCGGAACCCUGUUGCCUGGCUUCCUACACUAUUUCUUGUGUCUUUUUCUUGUAGCUAAACUUGAACAUUUUUUCCUUGAGUACCAUUUUACAAUCAACUGUGCUUUUAUGCAGUGGACUUUCACUGAAUGUCCCCUAUUGGAAAUUUUAACAACAAUUUAACAACUAUUUAUUUGAUACUUUCUGUAUAACCAAUAUUAUUGAACAUCCUAGGAACACAUACAUAAAUAAAACUUGA
rnacentral:lncRNA from 1 species